GCGGAAGGACGGCCUUCCGCAUUCUCACACAACCGCCCGCGGGGACGGCCCUG
rnacentral:ncRNA from 1 species